GGGAUUGUAGUUCAAUCGGUCAGAGCACCGCCCUGUCAAGGCGGAAGCUGCGGGUUCGAGCUGCGUCAGUCCCG
rnacentral:tRNA from 1 species